UUGACCUCAAAUCGGGUGAGACUACCCGCUGAACUUAAGCAUAUCAAUAAGCGGAGGAAAAGAAACUAACAAGGAUUCCCCUAGUAACUGCGAGUGAAGCGGGAAAAGCUCAAAUUUAAAAUCUGGCGGUCCCUGGCCGUCCGAGUUGUAAUUUAGAGAAGCGUCUUCCGCGCCGGGCCGUGCACAAGUCUCCUGGAAUGGAGCGUCAUAGAGGGUGAGAAUCCCGUCUUUGGCACGGACGCCUGUGCUUCUGCGAUGCGCUCUCGAAGAGUCGAGUUGUUUGGGAAUGCAGCUCAAAAUGGGUGGUGAACUCCAUCUAAAGCUAAAUAUUGGCGAGAGACCGAUAGCGAACAAGUACCGUGAGGGAAAGAUGAAAAGCACUUUGGAAAGAGAGUGAAACAGUACGUGAAAUUGUUGAAAGGGAAACGCUUGAAGUCAGUCGCGUCGACCGAGACUCAGCCUUGCCUCGGCUUGGUGUACUUCUCGGCCCGACGGGUCAGCGUCAAUUUUGCCCCUCGGAUAAUGGCAAGGGAAAGGUGGCACCUUUGCGGGUGUGUUAUAGUCUCCUGUCGCAUGCGAGGGGUGGGAUUGAGGAACUCAGCGCGCACCUUGGUGUCGGGGCUUCGGCCCACGUCACGCGCUUAGGAUGCUGGCGUAAUGGCUUUAAACGACCCGUCUUG
rnacentral:rRNA from 1 species